rnacentral:rRNA from 1 species
UACGAAAGGGGCUAGCGUUGUUCGGAAUUACUGGGCGUAAAGCGCACGUAGGCGGCAUUGUAAGAUGGGGGUGAAAUCCCCGGGCUCAACCCGGGAACUGCCUUCAUGACUGCAAAGCUCGAGGAUGUGAGAGGUUGGCGGAAUUCCGAGUGUAGAGGUGAAAUUCGUAGAUAUUCGGAAGAACACCGGUGGCGAAGGCGGCCAACUGGCACAUUUCUGACGCUGAGGUGCGAAAGCGUGGGGAGCAAACAGG